CCUACGGGUGGCAGCAGUGGGGGAUAUUGCACAAUGGGGGAAACCCUGAUGCAGCGACGCCGCGGGAGUGAAGAAGUAUUUCGGUAUGUAAAGCUCUAUCAGCAGGGAAGAAAAUGACAGUACCUGACCAAGAAGCCCCGGCUAACUACGUGCCAGCAGCCGCGGUAAUACGUAGGGGGCAAGCGUUAUCCGGAGUUACGGGGUGUAAAGGGAGCGUAGCCGGUUAUGUCAGUCUGGAGUGAAAGCCCGGGGCCCAACCCCGGGACUGCUUUGGAAACUGUGUAACUGGAGUACAGGAGGGGCCGGCGGCAUUCCUGUUGUAGCGGUCAAAUGCGUAGAUCUCAGGAGGAACACCGGCGGCGAUGGCGGCCUGCUGGACUGAAACUGCCGUUGCGGCUCGCAAGCGUGGGGAGCAAACAGGAUUAGCUACCCUUGUAGUC
rnacentral:rRNA from 1 species